CUCUAGCCCCGAUAGAAGUGGAAAUCCUUUUACUUUUUUCUUUAAAAAGUAAAAGAUUGAAAAGUAUAGCGGGAUUAGCU
rnacentral:sRNA from 2 species